GACGAACGCUGGCGGCGUGCCUAAUACAUGCAAGUAGAACGCUGAAGAGAGGAGCUUACUCUUCUUGGAUGAGUUGCGAACGGGUGAGUAACGCGUAGGUAACCUGCCUUGUAGCGGGGGAUAACUAUUGGAAACGAUAGCUAAUACCGCAUAACAAUGGAUGACACAUGUCAUUUAUUUGAAAGGGGCAAUUGCUCCACUACAAGAUGGACCUGCGUUGUAUUAGCUAGUAGGUGAGGUAAUGGCUCACCUAGGCGACGAUACAUAGCCGACCUGAGAGGGUGAUCGGCCACACUGGGACUUAGACACGGCCCAGACUCCUACGGGAGGCAGCAGUAGGGAAUCUUCGGCAAUGGGGGCAACCCUGGCCGAGCAACGCCGCGUGAGUGAAGAAGGUUUUCGGAUCGUAAAGCUCUGUUGUAAGUCAAGAACGGGUGUGAGAGUGGAAAGUUCACACUGUGACGGUAGCUUACCAGAAAGGGACGGCUAACUACGU
rnacentral:rRNA from 1 species